CAUCAAAUGACUGAAAGCAAGUAAUGGUCUCUUAAACCAAAACAUAGUAUAUUAGCAAAUACUUUUGAUGA
rnacentral:tRNA from 1 species